AUCAUUGCUUCUACAUCUACAA
rnacentral:miRNA from 1 species